rnacentral:rRNA from 1 species
CAGCCGCCGCGGGAAUACGUAGGUGGCAAGCGUUGUCCGGAAUUAUUAGGCGUAAAGGGCUCGCAGGCGGUUUCUUAAGUCUGAUGUGAAAGCCCCCGGCUCAACCGGGGAGGGUCAUUGGAAACUGGGAAACUUGAGUACAGAAGAGGAGAGUGGAAUUCCACGUGUAGCGGUGAGAUGCGUAGAGAUGUGGAGGAACACCAGUGGCGAAGGCGACUCUUUGGUCUGUAACUGACGCUGAGGAGCGAAAGCGUGGGGAGCGAACAGGAUUAGAUACCCCCGUAGUCCCUGUCUCUUAUAC